rnacentral:rRNA from 1 species
CACGUGAGUAACCUGCCCCUGACUCUGGGAUAAGCCCGGGAAACUGGGUCUAAUACCGGAUAUGACUUUUGACCGCAUGGUCGAGGGUGGAAAGAUUUAUCGGUUGGGGAUGGACUCGCGGCCUAUCAGCUUGUUGGUGAGGUAAUGGCUCACCAAGGCGACGACGGGUAGCCGGCCUGAGAGGGUGACCGGCCACACUGGGACUGAGACACGGCCCAGACUCCUACGGGAGGCAGCAGUGGGGAAUAUUGGACAAUGGGGGCAACCCUGAUCCAGCAAUGCCGCGUGGGUGAAGAAGGU